GGAUGUGAGGCCAAUCUGGCUGCAAUAUCUGUUACCCCAUUGAUCACCAGGGUUGAUUCAGCCGAUCUAACUGGCUAGGCGGGUGUCCCCUUACUCCCUUACUGCCCCAUGUACUUCCCUCUGAAGCUGUGAACUUGGUUGAAGAGGACGGCCUUCCCUAAAUAGAAACAAACAGGUCUUUGGUCAAGGGUAUACGAGUAGCUGCGCUCCCCUGCUAGAACCUCCAAACAAGCUCUCAAGGAAGUGAACCACCUGGAAUGGCAUUAGAGAAUACUAUGAAAGGAAAGGUCUUACCGGAAUAAUGAGGGUGAAGGGCUAACAUUCCAUUCCUGAUGUCUUUGGACACAGUCUGAUGUGAAG
rnacentral:snRNA from 1 species